rnacentral:rRNA from 1 species
UUCCGGUUGAUCCUGCCGGACCUGACUGCUAUCGGAUUGAUACUAAGCCAUGCGAGUCUUUGCAGUAAUGCAAGGCAUACGGCUCAGUAACACGUAGUCAACUUACCCUAUGGACGAGGAUAAUCUCGGGAAACUGAGCAUAAUACUCGAUAGAUCAUAAUGCCUGGAAUGGUUUAUGGUUAAAAUGAUUCGUCGCCAUAGGAUGGGACUGCGGCCUAUCAGCUUGUUGGUGAGGUAAUGGCCCACCAAGGCGAUUACAGGUACGGGCUCUGAGAGGAGAAGCCCGGAGAUGGGUACUGAGACAAGGACCCAGGCCCUAUGGGGCGCAGCAGGCGAGAAAACUUUGCAAUGUGCGAAAGCACGACAAGGUUAAUCCGAGUGAUUUCUGCUAAAGAAAUCUUUUGCAAGUCAUAAAACCACUAGUGAAUAAGGGGUGGGCAAGUUCUGGUGUCAGCCGCCGCGGUAAAACCAGCACCUCAAGUGGUCAGGAGGAUUAUUGGGCCUAAAGCAUCCGUAGCCGGCUCUGUAAGUUUUCGGUUAAAUCCAUGUGCUCAACACAUGGGCUGCCGAAAAUACUGCAUAGCUAGGGAGUGGGAGAGGUAGACGGUACUCGGUAGGAAGGGGUAAAAUCCUUUGAUCUAUCGAUGACCACCUGUGGCGAAGGCGGUCUACCAGAACACGUUCGACGGUGAGGGAUGAAAGCUGGGGGAGCAAACCGGAUUAGAUACCCGGGUAGUCCCAGCUGUAAACGAUGCAGACUCGAUGAUGCAUUGGCAUAUAGCCAGUGCAGUGUCGCAGGAAGCCGUUAAGUCUGCCGCCUGGGAAGUACGUACGCAAGUAUGAAACUUAAAGGAAUUGGCGGGGGAGCACCACAAGGGGUGAAGCCUGCGGUUCAAUUGGAUUCAACGCCGG